UCCGAGAUGUGCUGCUCACUAGCUCACCAGAGACUAUAGUCUAUACUAAAUUCCACAAGAGACAAGAACUAGGGAGAAAUUCACAUUAUUUUUCUAUCCCACACAAACUUCUAUUCAAACAAUAAGAGGUGCCCAGAGAGUCCAGAAGUGAGAGGCAGAAUCCCUGGACCUGGAGUUACAGGUGGUUGUAAGAUGUCUGACAUGGGUGCUGGGAAACAAACUUGGGUCCCCUGGAAGAAUAAGUGCUCUUAACCAAUGA